rnacentral:rRNA from 1 species
AUUGAACGCUGGCGGCAUGCCUUACACAUGCAAGUCGAACGCGAAAGGGGGGCAACUCCUGAGUAGAGUGGCGCACGGGUGAGUAAUGCAUCGGAACGUGUCCUGUAGUGGGGGAUAACCUAGCGAAAGCUAGGCUAAUACCGCAUACGUCCUACGGGAGAAAGUGGGGGAUCGUAAGACCUCACACUAUAGGAGCGGCCGAUGCCGGAUUAGCUAGUUGGUGGGGUAAAAGCCUACCAAGGCGACGAUCCGUAGCUGGUCUGAGAGGAUGAUCAGCCACACUGGGACUGAGACACGGCCCAGACUCCUACGGGAGGCAGCAGUGGGGAAUUUUGGACAAUGGGGGAAACCCUGAUCCAGCCAUGCCGCGUGAGUGAAGAAGGCCUUCGGGUUGUAAAGCUCUUUCGGCCGGGACGAAAUCGCACGCGUGAAUAUCGCGUGUGGAUGACGGUACCGGAAGAAGAAGGACCGGCUAACUACGUGCCAGCCGCCGCCGUAA